rnacentral:rRNA from 1 species
UACGGAGGGUGCGAGCGUUGUCCGGAAUCACUGGGCGUAAAGGGCGCGUAGGCGGCCUGAUAAGUAGGGGGUGAAAUCUUGCGGCUUAACCGCAAGGCUGCCUUCUAAACUGUCAGGCUCGAGCACAGUAGGGGCAGGUGGAAUUCCCGGUGUAGCGGUGGAAUGCGUAGAGAUCGGGAAGAACAUCAGUGGCGAAGGCGGCCUGCUGGGCUGUUGCUGACGCUGAGGCGCGACAGCGUGGGGAGCAAACAGG